UCUUGACUCAGUCCAAUUUCAGAAGUCAGC
rnacentral:piRNA from 1 species